rnacentral:sRNA from 2 species
UCCGGAUGGACGCCAAACUCUGCCGCUACCCGGAUUUCCUCAUGAUCAGGCAGAGGCGGGGGACCCAGGUCUCCGGGCAUUCUGCAUAGCCGCCCUUGGGGUGAAGCCGACACGUGAAGUUCCGUGCGGCCGGAUGACCUCAUCCGAACCCGACAGCUAACUCCGCCGGCAUCGAGAGGCAACCA